GUCUGCUGGCUGACAGCAGCCACAUGGCCCAACCAACCAGCAGAUACACGGGAGAAGCCACCGGGACCGGUCAGUGGCUACAGGACCCAGCAAUGACUGGACGUGCGAGGCAGCCCAGGAAAUAAAAGGUGCUGCAGAGAACAGGACAAUCAAGUUUAUGAAAGAAAAAAGUGCAGAGACAGAUUAAAAGUCAAAUUCUUCCUUCUGUCUUCCCACUGUCCAAGUUACCAAAGACCCAGUCUUCUUUACAAGACCUGUAGGAACAUCCCUGCCUUGUCUGGUCCCACGCAGUGACAAAUACUGUUGACUGCCAGAGCCAAAAGCCACCAGACACCAACGUCCUCCUUCCCAGUUGACUCCCUCUUCAGCUCCAGCUGACCCUGAUUCUGGCCAGUGAUAUGGGUCUGAGACUCAGCCCUGGUAAAAUAAACUCAGCUAGGACUUCUGGGAAAGGGCAUAUUUGCUAACAGAAGGAGACACACAGCAGGAAAAAACUGUAUUUUCUUCACAGUUGCCAUCACGUUUGCAUGUGAUGCUUGAACCUGCAGUAGCUUCCUUCUGACUGAGAUCAUGAGGAGAGAUCUGAGGAUCGGGGUGCAUAAAGAUGACAGCACCUGGGUCUCUGAUGACAUUCUUAAGCUACUGAAAAGGUUGUAGAGUCCUACAACCUCCUCACCUUCCUCCAGACUUCCUGCUCAGAGAUGAGGAAAAUCCUUGCUGCCUAAACUCCUUUUAGAUAGACACUGCUAUUGUCAGAAAAGCAUCUGUAUUAGUCAUCUUUCCUGUUGCUAUGACAAAAUGCCUAACACCUGCACAACGGAGCCAUAAUUCAUAUGCCUCUCUGCAGGGGGAGCUCUGAUUUGAAUGUCAUGUUCCCACCAGCUUGAACCACCAGUGUUACGUGCAUGACUGUCCCAUAAGAAGGUAUGAGAUAGUCCAAUCAGGUGGUACAAGUAGGCAGGAACACGUUAAAGGAGAAAAGAUCUUGGCUCAUGGCUUCAGGGGAUUCAGUCAAUGGCAGACAGUUCCCCAAGGCAUGAAUGGCAAGUCAGAAAUGCAUGUGCAGGAAAGCUGCUUAACCCAUGGCAACCAAGAAGCAGAGGAAGAAGCACUGAGACAGCAUCCUUGUACACAUCAUCUUGUGAACAACUGGCAUUUGUUUCUCUAGAAGACAUG